UACGAAGGGGGGCUAGCGUUGUUCGGAAUUACUGGGCGUAAAGCGCACGUAGGCGGAUAUUUAAGUCAGGGGGUGAAAUCCCAGAGCUCAACUCUGGAACUGCCUUUGAUACUGGGGUAUCUUGAGUAUGGAAGAGGUGAGUGGAAUUCCGAGUGUAGAGGUGAAAUUCGUAGAUAUUCGGAGGAACACCAGUGGCGAAGGCGGCUCACUGGUCCAUUACUGACGCUGAGGUGCGAAAGCGUGGGGGAGCAAAACAGG
rnacentral:rRNA from 1 species